GUCACUUUGCCGGAGUGGCUAACGGGAUCGCCUGCUACCUUAGCAUUCCAGCGGUUGUGCUUUGCACGCGAGUGUUCGAAUCGCUCAGGUGACG